rnacentral:rRNA from 1 species
CCUGAACGCUGGCGGCAGGCUUAACACAUGCAAGUCGAGCGGGCGUAAGCAAUACGUCAGCGGCAGACGGGUGAGUAACGCGUGGGAACAUACCUCUUGGUUCGGAACAACACAGGGAAACUUGUGCUAAUACCGGAUAAGCCCUUACGGGAAAGAUUUAUCGCCGAAAGAUUGGCCCGCGUCUGAUUAGGCUAGUUGGUGAGGUAACGGCUCACCAAGGCGACGAUCAGUAGCUGGUCUGAGAGGAUGAUCAGCCACAUUGGGACUGAGACACGGCCCAAACUCCUACGGGAGGCAGCAGUGGGGAAUAUUGGGGCAAUGGGCGCAAGCCUGAUCCAGCCAUGCCGCGUGAGUGAUGAAGGCCCUAGGGUUGUAAAGCUCUUUUGUGCGGGAAGAUAA